UUGGCCCCUAAGGAUACUGACGCUGGAGGGGCUGGGACUUUCCUUGGCCUCCACCAGGCCUGAAAUCGCUUUGGAAGCGAUCCCAUUUCCGGUCUUAAGCGCGUCUAGAUUCCAGGGGAUUGGGUGGAGCGUGCCCCGGUUCCAGAUCCCAGCGAGGGCUUCUCUCCCAUCAGCCCUAGAGAAACCGGAGCGGCUGGGGACCUCCUUAAAUCUGUUAUGACUGGGUUUUCCCUGAAGCCCACAGAGGAAACAGUGAAGAGUGCCUGUUUCCACAGGGAGGCAGCAUCAUUCUGCAACAGUCAGUGUCAGCUCUGGCGUUAGAUCAAAGGGGUUCAGAUCCUGGCUCUGCCUGCUGCCCACUAGCUGCGUGACUUGGGAAGACCAAAGAAGGAUUGGCAUUGCAUCUCUCUCCUGGAGCCUUUGGGAGUGACGGAGGAUCUUCCCUGAAUAUUUGGUAUUGGUCCUCCGGCACCACACGGGGGAUGUUGGUCAAGAAGGACUCGUAUCAGAGCAGGGCUGUGAACUCCUAGACAAACCAAAGGACAGCAGGUUUUUAAGGAGGCUGAGUGUGGACAUGGCUGGUCCUGUGCAGCAGAUAUACCUCCCAUGUAUCUCCCCUCCUUCUCCCGCCUCUCCUCUCUCUCCCUCUCCCUGUCUCCCCCACCCCCACCUCACCCAGCCACUGCCCUUUUUAAUUUUGUUUUUGUGGUUCUGACUUCGGGAGAGACAAACCAGUCUCUCCAAGGAGACACCUUGAGACCUCGUGCCCCCAGUGAGUGAGGGUCUUUUCCUCUGUAAGCCCCGCACACCACUGAGCCUUUGUGAGGACAGCCUCUCUGGUCUUGAACCCACCCAGACUCCCUGUGAGUCCACACCCUCCUGAGGGUGAGUGGUCACAGCUCACAUGAGUGUGUGUGAUGACGCCGUCACCAGCCAGUCCUCCGCGGAGGGUCAGGCCACCCCCGUGAGAGGUGGAGGGUGGGUACCAGUUGUUCUGGGGUCCGCCAAGUCUGAGACGGCGAGAGUUCCGCCUGAACAUCUGACUGGUCGUCAGGCUCUCCCACCGCCAGCCCCCCUGCCCCUGGCUCUUAGCCCUCCCUGUCCGCCCUCAGCUUCUCUCUCACUCUGGAUGCCAUUUCCCAUGUAAUUCCCAUUUCCAGUUUCUCCCAGUGAGCAUCUGACACUCACAGCACAUCCCUUGGGGGCUCUUUCCGUGGGAGCCCUCGCACAGUCUAGUUGACCUACGGGCUGGCUUCGCUUCAGUCCAGCGAAUUCUCUUCACCCGGCUGUGGCCUGAACACGUGUACUUCACGUGGCACAAAUAAAGGGACCUGGGAUUCCACUUCUUUGGGGGCAAUGACAAGAACAACUACCUUUAGAAGGCCCUGAGGGUGUGAUGUCCCCAUUUUUAAAUGCCUUGUGUUCUGAUUUUUUUAAUAUUAAAUAGAACCAACAAAGACUAUUUGAUGCUGUGGAAUAUCUAAAUGAUAUUCUCAUGAGCAUCAGAAUUUUAAAAAAAAAGAGUAUCUGAAAUGUCCCUCUGGCUCAUGGCCUGUUCUUAAACAAUGUCUUCUCACCAGAGUAAGCAACUACUAGGUUUUAGAGGGGAACACAGUGGACGUCUCUCCAAAACACCUAGGGGACAGGAGUCUUGGGUCUUCGAGUGACCUGGGACUACGUAAUUAUUCCCUUGCUUUUUGCUGUUGUUGUUGCUCAGAUUAAAGGUGGAAGAAAUCUGA